AGGUGAAUUCUAUACACACACCGAUAUCUCUACUAUCUCAACAUUAAGCUUUAUAUAAAGAAUAACCAAAGCCCAAGUUUUCAACCUUUUUUUCCACUAUUAUUUUGCAUAUUUCAGUUUCUCUACCAUACUUUUUUGUUGAAUGUUUGGCUAAGCCGAUGUUGAGGAAUCACGAGACCAAUGGCAGAGAACGAAUAGAAGUAUCCAAAAGGAGGGAGAAAAAUCAUCAUUUCCAAAGCUCUGUUUCUUGGAAAAGAGUAUAUGUAUUUGCAGAGUUGUGAAGCUUUUGUCUUCCAUCAUGGAGCAAAAUGGUUUUAAUUUCAAGUUAUUGGAACUUUCAGAUAGUUCUCUCCAGAUGUUUGGCAUUACUAUCGUCUAUGAAACAUAUUUCUUUCAGACGGCUGGUAAAACAUUCCCUGCAGGACCAUUUCAAGAAAGGUUUCAGUUUGAAGUCACAGAGUCUUGUGCCAGCAAUUGGAGCAAACAAAUUAGUCUGGAAAGACGCUAAAAUAGGGAAUGCUAUUACUUAUCCAAGUGGGCAUUGCCUUCGCUGCUGCCACCCUCGAUGCUUGUUAUAACCCGGCACAUUGACCAUAUGCUGAGCUGAAUGAGCAAACACCAAAAUCUGCCUCAAUCCCAAUGAGUACUCAAUUUCUGAUAAAUGAUGAGAAAUUAAAGUAUGUAUUGGCAACAACAGCAUGACUGUGUCAAGGGAACAACAAUUCCCCAAAGGGAAACAUAGUUUGAAAAUGGUGAAGUAAACUUUAUAUUCUGAAGCCCUCAAAAAUUCAAUGGUGGUUUGAAGUUGUUCAGACAGCAGUUCCUUCCUUAAAAGGGGAAUCUUUCCGCCUUCUCAUCAGUGGUGCAAGCAUGAAUGAUAAGAUAGCUACUGACUGCCUCAAGCAUGUUAAAUCAGGACCUUCAUUUUGAGAUUGGAAAGGUGAAAAGUGAUAUGUUGCUGUUUGCAGGCACUUUGGGAGGUUGCAUGAUUUGUGGGACAAUGUUGAUGGUAAGACAAUGCUAAUCUUGAAGAGAUUCAGCCAUUGAAAGGAAAAAGAGCAUAAUUAAAGAAUACACCUCCUCAUGGUAAUGAACAGAUGUUUGGCAUUACUAUUGUCUAUGAAACAUAUUUGUUUCAGACUGCUGGUAAAACAUUCCCUGCAGGACCAUUUCAAGAAGGGUUUCAGGGUGCAAUGAACAUUAUAUUCCAAAGCCCUCAAAAACUCAAUGGUGGUUCGAAGUUGUUCGGACAACAGUUCCUUCCCUAAAAGGGGAACCUUUCCUCCUUUGCAUCAGUGGUGCAAGCAUAAACGAUAAGAUAGCGAAUGACUGCCUCAAGCAUGUUAAAUCGAGUAACCUGCAACCUUCUGUAUAAAUGAAAUUGAUAUUCUCAUUGUAGCAGUGCCAAGCUUUUUGUAAUAUUUCAAUUUAAGAAGUUACCGAUGGGUAUUCCCCAUUUGUAGUGUGAUGAAUUUCAUAUACUCUUCUUUUUCUGCUAAAGUUUGUAGAAGCCUUUCUUCUAUAUUGCUCAUGUUAUGUUCUGGAAGUAAAGGUUCUACUCUCUCAAAUAAUCUGAAGUUCUUUUAAAUGGCCAGAAUUCAG
rnacentral:sRNA from 10 species